GCACCUGUGGCGGAAUUGGCAGACGCGCCAGAUUUAGGAUCUGGUAUCUCCCGAUGUGCAGGUUCAAGUCCUGUCAGGUGCACCA
rnacentral:tRNA from 1 species